rnacentral:lncRNA from 1 species
GAAUAUUACUCUUACUGCAAAUAUGUAUAGCCUUGUUUCCCUAAAAGAAAUUGUAUAGCCCCCACAUUUGAAGAAAAAAAAAAUUGUUACUUGAGCAAAAUAUGGCGAAACAUAAUUCUUUGGAAGGGGGGUAUACAUUUGUUGUAGUUUGCCUAAGAUGCACUCUCUCUCGGACUUUGUGGCUGUCGUCACCUGGACGGCGGCGCCGUUGAUGGAGGUUGGCAUCGUGUCUCUCCUUAACAUCUCUUUCCCCUUUUGACCUUCUCUCUCGUCCAUUAGCAGGAAUUCAUCGCCCCUCGUCGUCUGCCACCCCUCGCCGCGCAGCCAUGAGCUGCCUCGUUACUCCGACGAGCAACUGCUGUGUCCACGCCCUUCACCUCCUCUUUCUUUCGGUAGACAGCAGCGGCGGCGGUGGCAGCCUACGCAUCGACAACAACAUCCCUUUUCCAAAUCUAGCGUCGUUGUCACCCCUGCUUCCUCUCCAUCGACUGCCGUGGCGCAUACGCCUGACGAUGGCGUUCAGCCGGCCCCUUCACCUCUCUGGCUCGGAAGCAGUCAUUCACCCAAAUUUUCUCUUUCUUUCUAUUCUUUCUUUUCUUUUGAUUUCUUCAUGUAAAAGAGUUGGAUUAUUAUUGAAAGAAAAAAAUGUUAUCUUGAAGUUUGCCUAAUAUUUUUGGGAGAUUAAUUUUGAGACUGUAGGGGUAAAAAUGGAGAUUUAUUAAUAUUUUAGUUAUAAUUUUUAAUGGGGGCUAUAGAG